ACGACCUUACUUGAACAGGAUCUAUUCCAUAGGUUCGUACCUCUGUAUCCUUGAGUCCUAAGGAUACAGGAUCCUAAGUCUGGUUGAUGAGACAUGACCGUCCGAUCAGACCGUGAUUAACAAUUCUGAUGAUUUUGGUUCAAACCUAUCAAGCGCUAGAGGAUCGUUCCCAUGGUUGGUUCCAAUCCUAGGGUGGUAGCACGGUUGUCUGACAGAAU